AAUUCUGCCCCUGGACCCUUCUCUC
rnacentral:piRNA from 1 species